GACAGAGGGUGCAACGUUGUUCGGAAUUACUGGGCGUAAAGCGCGUGUAGGCGGCUCGGCAAGUCGGGUGUGAAAGCCCUGGGCUUAACCUAGGAAGUGCACUCGAAGCUGCCAAGCUUGAGUUCUGGAGAGGAAGGCGGAAUUCUCGGUGUAGAGGUGAAAUUCGUAGAUAUCGAGAGGAACACCGGUGGCGAAGGCGGCCUCUGGACAGCAACUGACGCUGAGACGCGAAAGCGUGGGGAGCAAACAGG
rnacentral:rRNA from 1 species